AUGGAGAGCAUGCACAGCUUCCUGGAGCACCUGUCCAGGACAGUGCCUCCUGCCGGGGGCGGUGGGCACGACGAGCAGGUGCGCACAUGGAUGAAGCAGGUCCGGGACCUGGCCCAUGACUGCAGCAACUGCAUCGACCUCUACCUCCGGCGCGGUGAUCCGGCGGUCUACCGUGCCAGGGCCGGCCGCUGGCGCUACCUCUGGUGGGCUUCCUGGUUGGUGCAGAGGAUGGUCGCCCAGCACAACGCGGCCAUUCGGCUGCGUGAGCUCAAGGAGCGGGCACGUGACGUAGGCAACCGUCGGUUGCGGUAUGGCGUGGAGAUCCCGCGGAAGGAGGCGGCGGCAUCUUUGCCACCGUCGUCGUCUCAAGCUGCUGCCACAGAAUACAAGGAGGAGGACGACUAUCAGAUUCAAGUGGCCGACGGUUCUGAUCCCCAUCAAAGGGCUCUAGAACCUCGCCUUGUAGAGGAGUACUGUGCCGAGAAGCUAGCCAACUGGCAGGAAUUGCAAGCCAAAACCAACAACUGUAUAUCCAUGGCAUCCAUCACCAUUGUUGCGCCAGAUGAUACAAAGGGUGCUGGUACCGUCGCACAUGACUCUUUGAGGUUUGCCGCCAACAACUUUGAGCGCACGAUCUGGGUCAAUCUCUCGGCAUUGCACUUCCCAUGGGAUCUUCCUCUGUUACCCAGGGAGAUCCUCUCCUACAUCCUGCAUGAAUGUGGGCAGCAGGAAGUCACAGGCGGACAAAGCGAGGUUAAUAAUCCUCGGGAAGGUUACAAUUACAAAGCAGGACUCGAGUUCGAAAUGUGGAAGAUGGUUAAUAAUGGAGAAAUCCGCGACAAGAUUGAUCAAAUCAGGAACAAGGUUCGAGAAGUUGGCAAGGGGGAGAUUGGAGGAGUGGAUAGAGGGAAGGUUGAAGAAAACAAGUGCUUAGGCAUAUUCCACCAUGCGCUGCGGCUCGUGCUGAACACGCCGGUUCAGCCACUAUCCUCAGAGGGGACUAUAGAGGAAACUGCUUCAUUGCUGAAAGAUCAUAUGGAAACAGGCGAAUCAGGAGAGGUUGAGGCGACCAGUGAUGUUGCUGCUGCUAUCAAUGAAACCAUCAAAGAAACCCUGGAAAAAAUGUCGCAGAUCCCUGGAGGAUUCGGGGUCUGCUGUACGCCAAAGGGAUAG
rnacentral:rRNA from 1 species